rnacentral:sRNA from 1 species
UGCCAUGGUAUCUACACAAGUCGCAUC